rnacentral:rRNA from 1 species
GUGAAGCGGCAACAGCUCAAAUUUGAAAUCUGGCUCCUCUCGGGGUCCGAGUUGUAAUUUGUAGAGGAUGCUUCGGGUGCGGCACCGGUCUAAGUCCCUUGGAACAGGGCGUCAUAGAGGGUGAGGAUCCCGUAUGUGACCGGCGACCAAGCCCAUGUGAAGCUCCUUCGACGAGUCGAGUUGUUUGGGAAUGCAGCUCAAAAUGGGUGGUAAAUUUCAUCUAAAGCUAAAUACCGGCCAGAGACCGAUAGCGCACAAGUAGAGUGAUCGAAAGAUGAAAAGCACUUUGGAAAGAGAGUCAAAAAGUACGUGAAAUUGUUGAAAGGGAAGCGCUUGUAACCAGACCUGCCGUCGGGUGUUCCGCGGGCAUUCUUGCCCGUCCACUCACCCGCGAUCAGGCCAGCAUCGGUUUUGGCGGCCGGAGAAAGACUCGAGGAAUGUAGCUUCGCUUCGGGGAAGUGUUAUAGCCUCUUGUGCAAUACGGCCAGCCGGGACCGAGGCCCGCGCUUCGGCUAGGAUGCUGGCGUAAUGGUUGCAAGCGACCCGUCUUGAAACACGGACCAAGGAGUCUAACAUCUAUGCGAGUGUUUGGGUGUCAAACCCAUGCGCGGAAUGAAAGUGAACGGAGGUGGGAACCCUCUAAGGGCGCACCAUCGACCGAUCCGGAAGUUUACGGAUGGAUUUGAGUAUGAGCAUAGCUGUUGGGACCCGAAAGAUGGUGAACUAUGCCUGAAUAGGGUGAAGCCAGAGGAAACUCUGGUGGAGGCUCGCAGCGGUUCUGACGUGCAAAUCGAUCGUCAAAUUUGGGUAUAGGGGCGAAAGACUAAUCGAA